UUCCUGGUGGCUCAGACGGUAAAGUGUCUGCCUGUAAUGCAGGAGACCCAGGUUUGAUCCCUGGGUCAGGAAG